rnacentral:rRNA from 1 species
AUUGAACGCUGGCGGCAUGCCUUACACAUGCAAGUCGAACGGCAGCACGGGAGCAAUCCUGGUGGCGAGUGGCGAACGGGUGAGUAAUAUAUCGGAACGUGCCCAGUCGUGGGGGAUAACGUAGCGAAAGCUACGCUAAUACCGCAUACUAUCUAUGGAUGAAAGCGGGGGAUCGCAAGACCUCGCGCGAUUGGAGCGGCCGAUAUCAGAUUAGGUAGUUGGUGAGGUAAAGGCUCACCAAGCCGACGAUCUGUAGCUGGUCUGAGAGGACGACCAGCCACACUGGGACUGAGACACGGCCCAGACUCCUACGGGAGGCAGCAGUGGGAAUUUUGGACAAUGGGCGCAAGCCUGAUCCAGCAAUGCCGCGUGCAGGAUGAAGGCCUUCGGGUUGUAAACUGCUUUGUACGGAACGAAACGGUGAGCUCUAAUACAGUUUGCUAAUGACGGUACCGUAAGAAUAAGCACCGGCUAACUACGUG